GGUGUGCUAGCUCAGAUUGGUGAGAGCAUGUCCCUGAUAAGGACAAGGUCGCUGGUUCGAUUCCAGCGCGCACCG
rnacentral:tRNA from 1 species